UGAAAAGCGAACCGUGGCUCGGCCCCAUUUCCCGCUCUGGUUCAGGCGCAGGAGGAAGUGUUUGCUGGAGGAUGAUGACAGAGGGACCCCGGCGUUGCUCUCGCGCUCCAGCCUUGCCGCAGCGUCCGUGGAGAAAACUCUCACGAGCAACUCCUCACGGGCUCCGUGCCUGCCAGCCGUUGUGGUCUUUAAGCAGCGGCACCAGAAAAAACUCAAAAAGCAAACGAGCAACCAAAAAUCCCCCAGCCCCACAAAAGUCUUGACAGGACUCGGGCCGCCAGCGAGCCGGGAUGCCUCCGAAAGGGGGAAGACUUUAGGGGCGCGCAGAUGUGCAAAGCCCCUUAUUCGGAGAGCAGACUGCCGUCCCUGAUUUCAG